UACGUAGGGUGCAAGCGUUGUCCGGAAUUUAUUGGGCGUAAAGAGCUCGUAGGCGGUCUGUCGCGUCGGCUGUGAAAACUCGGGGCUCAACCCCGAGCCUGCAGUCGAUACGGGCAGACUAGAGUGCUGUAGGGGAGACUGGAAUUCCUGGUGUAGCGGUGAAAUGCGUAGAGAUCGGAAAGAACACCAACGGCGAAAGCACUCUGCUGGGCCGACACUGACACUGAGAGACGAAAGCUAGGGGAGCGAAUGGG
rnacentral:rRNA from 1 species